UACAGAGGGGGCAAGCGUUGUUCGGAAUCACUGGGCGUAAAGCGCACGUAGGCGGACUCUUAAGUCGGUGGUGAAAUCCUGGAGCUCAACUCCAGAACUGCCUUCGAUACUGGGAGUCUCGAGUCCGGGAGAGGUGAGUGGAACCGCGAGUGUAGAGGUGAAAUUCGUAGAUAUUCGCAAGAACACCAGUGGCGAAGGCGGCUCACUGGCCCGGUACUGACGCUGAGGUGCGAAAGCGUGGGGAGCAAACAGG
rnacentral:rRNA from 1 species